rnacentral:snRNA from 1 species
CCACCGAGCGGCGGGUAGAAUC